AGAAUCAACGCUGGCGGCGUGCCUAACACAUGCAAGUCGAACGGUCAAUCGCAAGAAAGAUAGUGGCAAACGGGUGAGUAAUACGUAAGUGACCUGUCCUAAAGUGGGGAAUAAUCCGUCGAAAGGUGGACUAAUACCGCAUGUUAUGAUGAGGGUGAUGCUUCAUCAAGAAAGCCGUAAGGCGCUUUUGGAGGGGCUUGCGUCCGAUUAGCUAGUUGGUAGGGUAACGGCCACCAGGGCGAGGAUCGGUAGCUGGUCUGAGAGGACGAUCAGCCACACUGGGACUGAGACACGGCCCAGACUCCUACGGGAGGCAGCAGCAAGGAAUAGUAGGCAAUGGGCGAAAGCCUGACCUCGCGACGCCGCGUGAAGGAUGAAGGCCUUCGGGUCGUAAACUUCUUUUCUCGGGGAUGAAUAAUGACAGUACUCGGGGAAUAAGUCACGGCUAACUACGUGCCAGCAGCCGCGGUAAGACGUAGGUGGCUAGCGUUAUCCGGAUUUACUGGGCGUAAAGAGUGCGCAGGCGGCCUUUCAAGUCAGAUGUAAAAUCUCCCGGCUCAACUGGGAGGGACCAUCUGAUACUGUUGGGCUAGAGUACAGCAGAGGGAAGUGGAAUUCCCGGUGUAGUGGUGGAAUGCGUAGAUAUCGGGAGGAACACCAGUGGCGAAAGCGGCUUUCUGGGCUGUUACUGACGCUGUUGCACGAAAGCGUGGGGAGCAAACAGGAUUAGAUACCCCUGGUAGUCCACGCUGUAAACAAUGGACACUGGGUACAGGGAGUAUCGACCCUCUCUGUGCCGAAGCUAACGCGUUAAGUGUCCCGUCUGGGGGACUACGGCCCGCAAGGUUAAA
rnacentral:rRNA from 1 species